rnacentral:lncRNA from 1 species
UGCUGGUAUACGUAUCAUUCACCCUCUAAUUGCCAUCCACUGUUUAAAAGAAAUGGAAAUGAACUAUGGAAUGGAUAGGUGUCAGAUUGCACUGAAUAUGCUAGAAGAGAACAUAUUCUAUGAUUCUGGAAUAGGAAGAGAAAAAUUUAGGCACGAUGUGCAAACUCUCCUGCUUAAGAGACAACGCAAGGAGCAUGGAGCUGAAAUAGACACACUCUUUUCCCCAUUCAUUGAAGAAUUGCAGGAUGAGGAAGCUGAAAAGGUCUUGGCUGCAGGAAGUAACCGAUUCCCACAAAAUACAUUCUUUUGUCGAGCUUUAGCAAGACACUUCUAUCUUAAAGAGAAGAACUUUAGCAGUGCUCUGGUCUCGGCAAAUCAGGCCAAAAGGAAAGCACCUAAGAAUUCCUAUAUUUCAGGCACAGUUGGUCAAGUUUACAAAAGUGACAUCAGAUGCUGGUUAGGUAAAAAUAACACUUGUAGAAGUCUUAGUAUGGAUGAUCUAACACGCUUCUUAGAUGUUGGUGAGAAGGCUUUGAAAGCCUUCAAAGAGUCUCAGGAACAAACUGACAGUAAAGACUAUGAAACUGAGGUCUGGCCAUCACCGACGUUCCGAAGAAUAACAUAAAAUAUAGCUGGCUUCUUCGGGGAAAUAGAAAUGGGUCUUGACCCUAUCCAGUUUCUUUAGCUCACACCUCCUUUCCAUAAAGAAAAUGAAAUGUCAAAAGAAUCUAUUGCCUAGAACAAAUGAAACUCAAGACGGAUGAUCAAAAUGUGAAUGCUUCACUCCUUCUUUAAAAGGG